rnacentral:rRNA from 1 species
GCAUGGCCGAAAGCCUCAGGUUUCUGGAGGAAGGUUCGUCCGCUCCAGGUUAGUCGGGAGCUAAGGUGAGGCCUAACGGCGUAGCCGAUGCACAGACGGUAGAGAUUCCGUCACCACCAAAAGAGUUAAACACAGGGACACAUUUGAAGUCUCGGAGCCGGGUGUUGGUUCCGGUAGCGAUCGAGGGAAAUUAGUACCGAAGUCCGGGAUGGAAGAUGGCGAGAAAAGCUGUGUGUAUUUCUGCGGUGCCCGUACCGCAAACCGACACAGGUAGGUAGGAAGAAGAUUCUAAGGCCAACGGGAGAAGGGUUGUUAAGGAACUCGGCAAAUUGACCCCGUAACUUCGGGAGAAGGGGUGCUCUAGAGAUAGAGCCGCAGAGAAUCGGCCCAAGCAACUGUUUACCAAAAACACAGGUUUGUGCUAAAUCGAAAGAUGACGUAUACGAGCUGACGCCUGCCCGGUGCUGGAAGGUUAAGAGGAGAUGUGCAAGCAUUGAACCGAAGCCCCAGUGAACGGCGGCCGUAACAAUAACGGUCCUAAGGUAGCGAAAUUCCUUGUCAGGUAAGUUCUGACCCGCAUGAAAGGCGUAAUGAUUUGGGCACUGUCUCGACAGCCCGCCCGGCGAAAUUGUAGUACCGGUGAAGAUGCCGGUUACCCGCGACAAGACGGAAAGACCCCAUGGAGCUUUACUGUAGCCUAAUAUUGGGUUUCGAUGUUGCAUGCACAGGAUAGAUGGGACACUGGGAAGCAAGUGCUUUGGCAUUUGUGGAGUGGCCGUUGGGAUACCAUCCUUGCGAUAUUGGAAUUCUAACCUGCGCCUUCGAAUCAAGGCGGGGGACAUUGUUAGGUGGGCAGUUUGACUGGGGCGGUCGCCUCCUAAAGAGUAACGGAGGCGUUCAAAGGUUCGCUCAGCUUGAACGGAAAUCAAGCAAAAGAGUGCAAACGCAGAAGCGAGCCUAACUGCGAGACUGACGGGUCGAGCAGUAACGAAAGUUGGAGUUAGUGAUCCGGUGGUAUGUGAGUGGAAAUGCCAUCGCUCAACGGAUAAAAGUUACCCUGGGGAUAACAGGCUGAUCUCCCCCAAGAGUCCAUAUCGACGGGGAGGUUUGGCACCUCGAUGUCGGCUCAUCGCAUCCUGGGGCUGUAUUCGGUCCCAAGGGUUUGGCUGUCGCCAAUUAAAGCGGUACGCGAGCUGGGUUCAGAACGUCGUGAGACAGUUCGGUCCCUAUCUGUCGUGGGCGCAGGAUAUUUGAUGGGAGCUGUUCCUAGUACGAGAGGACCGGAGCGGACGUACCUCUGGCGCACCAGUUGUUCUGCCAAGGGCAUAGCUGGGCAACUAUGUGCGGAUCGGAUAAACGCUGAAAGCAUCUAAGCGUGAAGCCGACCCAAAGAUAAGAUAUCCCAUUGUUUCAAACAAGUAAGACCCCUUGAAGACUACAAGGUUGAUAGGCAUGAUGUGUAAGUGGAGUGAUCCAUUCAGCAAGCGUGUACUAAUAGGUCGAGGGCUUGACC